UAUAAAACGAGUUUUGGAUUAUCUAAGACUUAUUAAUGUCAUACGUUAGUACAUUAAUAAAGAUACUUAUAUUGUAUAAAUAAAAUGAAAUUACUAGAUGAUAAAAUCGAUUGCCUGAUCAUAUUUCGGUAGUUUUAUAGUAUGUUGAUAAUAUGUGUAAAUUAAAAUAAAGCCUUAUAUGAUGAUACAUAUUGAAUAAUAAGAUAGAUAUAUGUUAUUAGUAACCAGGUGUCAUUGCCCGAGUGAUGGAUCUAAUAGUGGGCAACUAUUGAAUAAUUUUCAAUAAAAAUUUGUCCUAGCGUGAUUGUAUUGCCUAGUUUGAUCGGUAUUAGUGAGUAAAUCACGAACAAGAGGAGGCAAAGGAAUUUUCCACGUACAUUGUACAUUGAAUAACAAACCAAAACGUUUAUACUACGUUUGCUGAAAUAAAUUUAAGAGGCUAUGUGAAAGGACAAAAUAACGCGCACUUAAUAGUAAUAAUAUAACUCAGUGACAAUUUACGUGUCAAUUAAUAAUUGAUAAUAAGAUGCCCACAGAUACUCACGGGUGCCCAACAAAUAAGGUCGUCAGUCUCAGGAUCUUCGACUAAUUUCCAAAGUUUCCCAAGAAAUGCCGGGACACUUGUUUCCACUUCCAUUACAGUAUGCAUUGUACCGUCACUACAAUAUAAAUUCAAAUUUAUAAAUAAAGUUCACUUUAAUAAUAUCAACUUUUAAA